GUUUAAGUAAACAAUGAUAUUCUUGUACAAUCUACAACAAAUCUUGACAAAUAAUUUAGAAACAACUGAGGUAACCGAUCUUAGGCAGAGACCGAGGCUUUCUUGGUCUCCUCUUCAGCACCUACCUCCUCAGCAAUUGGCGCGUACCCGAUUCCACUUCGUUUGCUCGGAAACAAAGCAAAGAUAGUGGCUGAGGCAACACCCACGGCAGGAGGCAAAGCCAUGACAA